CAACCCAGCCACCAGUUACUAUGAUCAAAAAGCCUAGAGAAUUAGUUUAUUGUGUUAGAGUUUCAGUUACUAAAGUCAUAAUGCUUUCAAAGAGCACAGGAACAAAGAUUGAUUUAUAAGUGAUAGGAAAUUAGUGUAUUAUUCAUCUUUAGUUUUUGUUUGUUGCUACUACUGCAGUAUCAUAUAAAGGUCUGCAAAUUUAUGCCUUCUUGAAUCUCUUUUUAAGUAGCUAAUCAAAUCACGCAGUCAAAGAAUAUCUUUUAUUACUGUUCUCUCAUAAUGCAUUUCUCAAAAUUGUCCCAGCCCUUGUUACUGUUUUCCCAUUAAA
rnacentral:lncRNA from 1 species